rnacentral:rRNA from 1 species
UACGAAGGGUGCGAGCGUUGUUCGGAAUUACUGGGCGUAAAGGGUUCGUAGGCGGGAAGACAAGUUCGAUGUGAAACCUCUGGGCUUAACCUGGAACGUGCAUCGAAAACUGUAUUUCUUGAGUGUUGGAGAGGGGAGUGGAAUUGCUGGUGUAGGAGUGACAUCCGUAGAGAUCAGCAGGAACACCGGAGGCGAAAGCGACUCCCUGGCCGAACACUGACGCUGAGGAACGAAAGCGUGGGGAGCAAACAGG